CUAUGGAUGAGAAAUGCGGAUAUGGGACUG
rnacentral:piRNA from 2 species